GACGAACGCUGGCGGUGUGCUUAACACAUGCAAGUCGAGCGGUAAGGCCUUUCGGGGUACACGAGCGGCGAACGGGUGAGUAACACGUGGGUGAUCUGCCCUGCACUUCGGGAUAAGCCUGGGAAACUGGGUCUAAUACCGGAUAUGACCUCCUAUCGCAUGGUGGGUGGUGGAAAGAUUUAUCGGUGCAGGAUGGGCCCGCGGCCUAUCAGCUUGUUGGUGGGGUAAUGGCCUACCAAGGCGACGACGGGUAGCCGACCUGAGAGGGUGACCGGCCACACUGGGACUGAGACACGGCCCAGACUCCUACGGGAGGCAGCAGUGGGGAAUAUUGCACAAUGGGCGAAAGCCUGAUGCAGCGACGCCGCGUGAGGGAUGACGGCCUUCGGGUUGUAAACCUCUUUCAGCAGGGACGAAGCGCAAGUGACGGUACCUGCAGAAGAAGCACCGGCUAACUACGUG
rnacentral:rRNA from 1 species